rfam:Salmo salar isolate Sally breed double haploid chromosome ssa11, whole genome shotgun sequence.
UACACUCACUACUGUAAGUCGCUCUGGAUAAGAGCGUCUGCUAAAUCACUAAAA